CCCUUAGAUGUCCUGGGCCGCACGCGUGCUACACUGAUGCAUACAGCGAGUACUCCCAGCUCUGAGAGGCUGCUGGUAAUCAGCAAUAUGCAUCGUGAUGGGGAUAGAUCUUUGGAAUUAUAGAUCUUGAACGAGGAAUUCCUAGUAAUCGCAGGUCAUCACCCUGCGUUGACUAAGUCCCUGCCCUUUGUACACACCGCCCGUCGCUCCUACCGAUUUCGAGUGAUCCGGUGAAUCAUUCGGACCGCGGCCCCUAGGCAUGCGGAAAGUCUAGUAAACCAUAUCACUUAGAGGAAGGAGAAGUCGUAACA
rnacentral:rRNA from 1 species